UGGAUCCAGACUUUGAUUAUGGCUCAGGAUGAACGCUGGCGGCGUGCCUAACACAUUCAAGUCGAACGGACGAAGAGGAGCUUGCUCCUCCGAGUUAGUGGCGGACGGGUGAGUAACGCGUGAGCAACCUGCCUUUGUGCGGGGGAUAACACAGGGAAACCUGUGCUAAUACCGCAUAACAUAUGACUACAGCAUUGUAGACAUAUCAAAGAUUUAUUGCACGAAGAUGGGCUCGCGUCUGAUUAGAUAGUUGGUGAGGUAACGGCUCACCAAGUCGACGAUCAGUAGCCGGACUGAGAGGUUGAACGGCCACAUUGGAACUGAGAUACGGUCCAGACUCCUACGGGAGGCAGCAGUGGGGAAUAUUGGGCAAUGGACGAAAGCCUGACCCAGCGACGCCGCGUGAAGGAAGAAGGCCUUCGGGUUGUAAACUUCAGUCAACAGGGAAGAAAGAAAUGACGGUACCUGUGGAGGAAGCCACGGCUAACUACGUGCCAGCAGCCGCGGUAAUACGUAGGUGGCGAGCGUUAUCCGGAUUUACUGGGUGUAAAGGGUGUGUAGGCGGGAUUGCAAGUCAGAUGUGAAAAUUACGGGCUCAACUCGUAACCUGCAUUUGAAACUGUAAUUCUUGAGUGUCGGAGAGGUAAACGGAAUUCCCAGUGUAGCGGUGAAAUGCGUAGAUAUUGGGAGGAACACCAGUGGCGAAGGCGGUUUACUGGACGGCAACUGACGCUGAGACACGAAAGCGUGGGGGGCAAACAGGAUUAGAUACCCUGGUAGUCCACGCCGUAAACGAUGAAUGCUAGGUGUAGGCAUGAAUGUGUCUGUGCCGCAGCUAACGCAAUAAGCAUUCCACCUGGGGAGUACGGCCGCAAGGUUGCAACUCAAAUGAAUUGACGGA
rnacentral:rRNA from 1 species